rnacentral:rRNA from 1 species
GAUGAACGCUGACAGAAUGCUUAACACAUGCAAGUCUACUUGAAUUUGGGUUUUUUCCCUUAGAUUUGGGUGGCGGACGGGUGAGUAACGCGUAAAGAACUUGCCUCACAGCUAGGGACAACAUUUGGAAACGAAUGCUAAUACCUGAUAUUAUGAUUAUAAGGCAUCUUAGAAUUAUGAAAGCUAUAUGCGCUGUGAGAGAGCUUUGCGUCCCAUUAGCUAGUUGGAGAGGUAACGGCUCACCAAGGCGAUGAUGGGUAGCCGGCCUGAGAGGGUGAACGGCCACAAGGGGACUGAGACACGGCCCUUACUCCUACGGGAGGCAGCAGUGGGGAAUAUUGGACAAUGGACCAAGAGUCUGAUCCAGCAAUUCUGUGUGCACGAUGACGUUUUUCGGAAUGUAAAGUGCUUUCAGUUGGGAAGAAAAAAAUGACGGUACCAACAGAAGAAGAGACGGCUAAAUACGUG